rnacentral:rRNA from 1 species
UCGGGAAUUUUGGGCAAUGGGCGAAAGCCUGACCCAGCAACGCCGCGUGAAGGAUGAAGUAUUUCGGUAUGUAAACUUCGAAAGAAUAGGAAGAAUAAAUGACGGUACUAUUUAUAAGGUCCGGCUAACUACGUGCCAGCAGCCGCGGUAAUACGUAGGGACCAAGCGUUGUUCGGAUUUACUGGGCGUAAAGGGCGCGUAGGCGGCAAUUCAAGUCAUCUGUGAAAUCUCCGGGCUUAACUCGGAACGGUCAGAUGAUAUUGCUUUGCUAGAGUGCAGAAGGGGCAAUCGGAAUUCUUGGUGUAGCGGUGAAAUGCGUAGAUAUCAAGAGGAACACCUGAGGUGAAGACGGGUUGCUGGGCUGACACUGACGCUGAGGCGCGAAAGCCAGGGGAGCAAA